AUACGUAGGGGGCUAGCGUUGUCCGGAUUUAUUGGGCGUAAAGAGCGUGUAGGCGGCCAGAUAGGUCUGCUGUGAAAACUCGAGGCUCAACCUCGAGCUGUCGGCGGAAACCAUUUGGCUAGAGUCCGGAAGAGGAGAGUGGAAUUCCUGGUGUAGCGGUGAAAUGCGCAGAUAUCAGGAAGAACACCUAUGGCGAAGGCAGCUCUCUGGGACGGUACUGACGCUGAGACGCGAAAGCGUGGGGAGCGAACAG
rnacentral:rRNA from 1 species